rnacentral:lncRNA from 1 species
UUCUUUGAGGAUUGUUAACUAGGGAAAAGCACCCUUCAAUUUCCCCUCUGACAACCUCCCAGGCACAGAGGCCUUAUUCCCUUUACUUCACAUAGGGAAUGAUUCUUUGGAAAUAUUUCCAGACAGCAAUUCCUAAAUAGAGACAAGAUAGAUUUUCUACUUUUGCAGAAAUGUACUUUUGUCAGCUGCAGUCGUUCCAGACUGUGAUCAAGUCUGGAGAGUCGUUUAUUGAGGAGGAUCUUAUGCCAAACAGCCAGUGUGUCGUCCCUGGGGAAGAGGCUGAAGAUCUGCUGGAGCAGCUGACGGUGGAAACGGAUGUCUCCUGUCUUCUGGAUUUGGGUGAUAGUUCCUCGUUUCCUAGAAAACUUGAACCAUGGCUCCAAGACUUGUCCCUGCCAAGUGAGCAGGCAGCGCUGGAGAUGAGCAUGAUGACUCCCGCCAUUACCAGGGAGGUGUAGGCCACUGUGAUUUCAGAGAUUCACUAGCCGGCCUCGAAGGGGCGCGGGCCCGCUGCGCAAAGAGCGCAAAGCUCCCAGCGCUGCGCACCACGGCCGCAGCAAGGCGCCAGAAUGGGUUUUCCUGAUGCCCAGGAUUUGGGAACCGCGGGUUUGAGUUUCGGGGCGUCCCGCAGCCCCAGGGAAACGUCGUCGCGGCUUAUCGCGCCAACUUUGUGCAGCUUCGACCUGAGUAAAAAAAUCUCUUUUGCUGCUCAGGAGGCAGCUCCGCCGUGGUCUCCCUUGAGACAUCUUCCUCAGGUAGCCAGCAGGGCACCUUUUAUUUUCGGGAUUUUCCCCUGGGUUUGGGGCUUUUAUUUCCCAUAGAGACUUCAGCGAGACUUGUUUUUACAGAGGGACCCGUUGAUUCCGGGACUUGAGGGCUCGAGAUCGCACGGGUUUAAUCUUGGGGAUUCCGUUUGUGUGGGGGCGCAGGGCGGGGACGUCUUGGGGAAGGGGACACGCUGGACCCUGGGGCGAGCGGACGGGUCCUGGGAGCGCCCGGGGCUGGGGACGCCGCGCACCGGGCCAGGAGCAGAGAGGCGCCCGUGCCUGCCCCAGGGUGUGCCAGGAGCUAAGCUUUCAGCUUCAGACGCCAGUGUCGCUGAAACCAUAAUUCAGGUAUGUUAAAACUCAACAGCAUUAUUUUAAAUACUUUAUACCAAAACAAGAAUGUUGUGAUCUUACUUCCCUAGCUUUAAAGGAAGCAAACUCAGCAAUGCUUUCAAGAUCCCUACUUUGUUUUAUCUGGGAGAAGUGCCAUGUCUGACAUUUCCAGUGACUCAGUGACACUGAGAUAAUUUUAUUUAACUUUGGUUUACUGAAAGCCCUUCCUCAAGACCCCACCUUGACUUGUGUUGCUGAAAAGAGAAAUGAGCAGUGUUGCCUACAAAGAGUAGAGGAGCAGGUCAGAACUUUUUAUUUUCUAGGGUAAGAAUUUUAUAGCCUGAGUGGAGUUUGCCAUAAUUUGUUACACUGGCCCCUCUCCUUUGUAAGACCCUCAGGGUCAUCUUACAUUUCCUGCCUUUACUUAAUUAAAAUUUUGAUAUUUGCCUCAUCAUGGAUGUUUAGGCAUUAAUUUCCAAUUUUAAUAUUGUAUUAAAAUAGUAUUUGAGUUGAUAAUUUAAGUAUAUAUUUUAAAUAUAUAAAGGAUAUAUAUUUUUAUAUUGAUCUAUUUUAUAUGUGUGUUUCUGUACAUUUAAAUACUUACGUAUACAUAUUUAUAUAUUUCAGCAUAUACUUUAUAUAAAAUUAUAACAUAUGUAUAUAUUUAUAUAUUUAAAUACCCAUAAUAUAUAAAAUGUAAGUAUAUAUUCUACAUAUACUUACAUAUAUAUAUAGAUAUAGAGUUAUAAACUAAAACUAAAAAUAAAAUACUAAGCCACCCAUUGGCUGAACAUGCCCCCUUUUGGCCAAUGGAACCCCUAAAAACCUUAACUGAAUUCUCAACCAUGAUGGGAAGCAGGAUGGACACGCCUCAUUAUAUCCCCCUCCGUUUUGGAGUAUGGACACAAACUGGCCAGCAUUGAUGUUAUAAGAGAGAUAAUAAGACAAAACAGACUUUGUGGCAAUAAGAUACCAAAUUAUAAGCAAGACCUAAGGCCAUGCAAGGCGAGAGUUAUGUACUGCAAACCAUAAAAUCUCCUUAAAUGGAUUUUUAAAAAUUAACCCAGUAAAAUGUGGCUCACUUUCUAACCUAACUCUCAUAUAAUACCAUAUGGCAGAUUGCAGACCCAUUUAUCUUAAUUUAAGCAUUCUUUUCUAAUGACUUCAAGUCUUUAGACAAAGCUUAACUGUUUCAACCAAUUGCCAGCUAAAGAAUCCCUGAAACCCACCUGUGACUUUUAAAUCCCCACUUUGAGAUGUCUUGCCUUUUCUGGCCAAACCACUGUAUACCUUCCAUGUAUUGAUUUAUGAUUUUACCUGCAAUUCGUAUCUCCCUGAAAUGUCUAAAACCAAAUUAUAACCCAACCACCUUGGGUGCACUUUUUCAGGACCUCUUAAAACUGUUUCUCCAGGAUAUGGUCACUCAUAUUGGCUCAGAAUAAACUUCUUUAAAAUAUUUUCCAGUCUUACAGACAAUUUCCUCUCCUAGAGUUUCCAUUUAGGAGGCGCCAAUGUGCAAGACCCUGAGAGUGUCAGGGGAGCUGCAAUCAAAGCUUUUCUUGGAUGGACUUGGUUGAAUAUGGACUAUACAGAUUAUAAAUACAUGGUUGUAUGUAUAUAUAUAUUUUUUCUAUAUAGUUCACAAAUGCAAACUAUAUAGAUUAUACUAAAGGUUACUAUCUGUAUUAGUCUGUUCUCAUGCUGCUACUAAAGACAUACCCAAGACUGAGUAAUUUAUAAAGGAAAGAGGUUUAAUUGACUCACAGUUCCACAUGGCUGGGGAGGCCUCACAAUCAUGGCGGAAGGUGAAUGAGGAGCAAAGUCAUGUCUUACAUGGUGGCAGGCAAGAGAGAGCUUGUGCAGGGAGGAGAACCCCCAUUUAUAAAACCAUUGGAUCUUGUGAGACUUAUUCGCUACCACGAGAACAAUAUGGGAGAAACUGCCCCCAUGAUUCAAUUAUCUCCACCUGGCCCCACUAUUGACAUGUGGGAAUUAUUACAAUUCAAGGUGAGAUUUGGGUGGAGACACAGCCAAACCACAUCACUAUAAUUUAUCAUGUUCAGAUUCUCAGCCAGUAAUUUCCAAACUUUAUUUCAUUUAAUCUUUACAGUUUCUAAUAUGACAACUACUAAAAUAUUCUGAAUUUUUCAGAAGAGGAAAUGAAAAUCUGAUGUUUAACUUGCUAAGAGUCACAGAUUUUGUCAGAAAGUGGAGCUUUCUACUGCCUCCAACUCCCCUCUUGAUUUGCUCUCAGUACUUCCUCUUGGCAGCACUGAGAAUGCUAGUGCUUAAUUAAUCAUAAUCGUGUCUUUAAUGUCUGGCUUUUGCUCCCUGGAGGGCAAUCAUCAUCCUGUCUUAUUAUCCUUGAACCCACAUUGCCAAGCACAUUGUUUGUCCCGUAUAUGCAGUGAACACAUUUUUAGUGACAGAAUGAAGACAACUGGAUGAGUUAACCGUUGGUAUGCCAGUUUUAUGCCCUGUGAUCUGUAGAUUGUGAUCUGUGGCUCCUGUAAAGAAAGGUGGAAGAAAUCAAAUCUAGUGCAUUAGCCCCUUAAAAGGGAAAUGGAGAGAGGUGAGGAAAUGUGUAUUUCAGUGCAGUUUAAUAUGUAAAAAUGGGCCAGGCACAGUGGCUCACGCCUGUAAUCCUAGCACUUGGGAGGCCGAGGCAGGCAGAUCACUUGAGGCGAGGAGUUCGAAACCAGCCUGGCCAACAUGGUGAAAACCUGUCUCUACUAAAAAUACAGAAAAAUUAGCCAGGCAUGGUGGCAGGUUCCUGUAAUCCCAGCUACUUGGGAGGCUGAGGCAGGAGAAUUGCUUGAACCCAGGAGGCAGAGGUUGCAGUGAGCAGAGAUCGCACCAUUGCACUCCAGCCUGGGUGACAGAGAGAG